ensembl:lncRNA
CUGCGUUCUCUUCCUCCAGUGCUGUGCAGGACAGUUUCUUCUCACCCUAGCCUUUUUAAAUGCACCAGAAGUACAGACAGUUGCACUACACAAACCCUUUGAACACUUGUAGAAAUCAGUCCACCGUAGAUUAGACAGAAUCACCUUCCAAUCCUUUGACUUCUUUUCCUUUCAUUUGAACAAUUGUAUAAUAAUUGACUAUUGUCAAAUUUUUGUCUGUGGUAGUAUCGCUUUAAUUUAUCUUAGUACAUCAACGUUUUGAUUUAAAAAAAAAUUAAAACAACAAAAAAAGUCACUUAGAAGCCAUGAACUUUUUUUUUUUUUUUGAUUGUCAAAUUUUCUUGUUUUGAAAAUUAUCAUUUGGGUUCACUCAGGAAAUGCAUGUCAAGAUUUGUAUUAUAAGUUAGCUGUGAUGUAUCAGUAACUGCUGGUUAUUACCCUUUUUUCAAGGAAAUUUAAUUGAUUUUGAAGUUUUCUGGUCACAACCUCCGUGACUAGGCAAGGAAACCAAGUCCUGUGUGUGUUUUGUCAUUUCUGUUGAGGCUCUAUAUUGUAGCUUAAUUUUUAUUUGCAAUUAAUUUAUUCAAACUAAGUAAAUACUUUUCAAAAUAGACAUGUGAAUUUGUCUGUGUGGGCUCCUUUUUGCACAGUUGGAAGUAUAGGAGUUUCCGUUUACUGAGAGAGACACUGUAAAUAUCAGAGAGAAGUCGUCAUGGCAGUGACAGCGUAGAGCCCUUGUGAGGUUCAGCCUGAGUUCCCCGAAUUGUACUUGUGAAGAUAGAGUCCAUGUUCUUUCCAAAAGCCCUAAAUUUUCUCUCCUAUCAGCUGAGAAAAGAAAACACAAGAUGGUUCAUUUUCUAUAAAGUUCAGGUUUUUAAACCUUGGGAAAUAUAAAUCACGAGCUGGAUCUUUUGUUCAAGCACUUUGAAUAGUGCUUCUGCACUCUGUAUUAAAGACAUUCGGGACUGGACAGAUGGCUCAGUGGUCACGAGCCCUUGCUGCUCUUGCAGAUGGCGGGAGUGUUAGACAACCCCGUUCUCGUGGCUUACACCGCUUGUGGCUGCCUCCAGCGAAGCGAGUGCUCCCUUCUGACCUCUGGGAGUGCCUGCACCUGCACCUGCACACACGUGCACACGCAUGCACAUAAAAUAAAUAAUAUAAAGAAGUGAGAAAUGUCUGUAUUUUGGCCAAGGGAAAAAAGGUUGUAUAUACGUUUCCUAAAUGAGCUCGUAAGGAGGUAAUCCUUAAGGCCGCUUAUAUCAAAGUGAUCUUUGUAUUUAAUUUAACAAGGAUUCUAUUUCUAUUUGUGUAACAUGUUAUUGGUCACAAUUUCUUUUGUUUGUUUGAUUUGUUUGUUUUUUUUUAAUUGUUUUAUUUAUUUACAUUGCAAACGUUGCCCCCCUUCCUGGUCCCUGCUCCAAGAGUUCUUCACCCUGCCCUCCUCCCCUAGACAGUGUCUUUGCCAGGCUGUCCCCAUCCUACCCCACCAGGUGGUGCUUGGUGAGCGUUCCUCGUUAGCUGUAUUUUACCAGCUCCUUCUGACGUCCUGAUUGCUUGCUGUGCUCCAAGAAGAAUUUUCUGGGACGGGCCAAAAUAAAUAAUAAUUUUAGAUAAUAAAUUUGCAUAACAAUGCAAAUAAAUAAC